rnacentral:rRNA from 1 species
GACGAACGCUGGCGGCGUGCUUAACACAUGCAAGUCGAACGGAAAGGCCCUGCUUUUGUGGGGUGCUCGAGUGGCGAACGGGUGAGUAACACGUGAGUAACCUGCCCUUGACUUUGGGAUAACUUCAGGAAACUGGGGCUAAUACCGGAUAGGAGCUCCUGCUGCAUGGUGGGGGUUGGAAAGUUUCGGCGGUUGGGGAUGGACUCGCGGCUUAUCAGCUUGUUGGUGGGGUAGUGGCUUACCAAGGCUUUGACGGGUAGCCGGCCUGAGAGGGUGACCGGCCACAUUGGGACUGAGAUACGGCCCAGACUCCUACGGGAGGCAGCAGUGGGGAAUAUUGCACAAUGGGCGGAAGCCUGAUGCAGCAACGCCGCGUGCGGGAUGACGGCCUUCGGGUUGUAAACCGCUUUCGCCUGUGACGAAGCGUGAGUGACGGUAAUGGGUAAAGAAGCACCGGCUAACUACGUGCCAGCAGCCGCGGUGAUACGUAGGGUGCGAGCGUUGUCCGGAUUUAUUGGGCGUAAAGGGCUCGUAGGUGGUUGAUCGCGUCGGAAGUGUAAUCUUGGGGCUUAACCCUGAGCGUGCUUUCGAUACGGGUUGACUUGAGGAAGGUAGGGGAGAGUGGAAUUCCUGGUGGAGCGGUGGAAUGCGCAGAUAUCAGGAGGAACACCAGUGGCGAAGGCGGUUCUCUGGGCCUUUCCUGACGCUGAGGAGCGAAAGCGUGGGGAGCGAACAGGCUUAGAUACCCUGGUAGCCCACGCUGUAAACGGUGGGUACUAGGUGUGGGGUCCAUUCCACGGGUUCCGUGCCGUAGCUAACGCUUUAAGUACCCCGCCUGGGGAGUACGGCCGCAAGGCUAAAACUCAAAGGAAUUGACGGGGCCCCGCACAAGCGGCGGAGCAUGCGGAUUAAUUCGAUGCAACGCGUAGAACCUUACCUGGGUUUGACAUGGAUCGGGAGUGCUCAGAGAUGGGUGUGCCUCUUUUGGGGUCGGUUCACAGGUGGUGCAUGGCUGUCGUCAGCUCGUGUCGUGAGAUGUUGGGUUAAGUCCCGCAACGAGCGCAACCCUUGUUCACUGUUGCCAGCACGUUAUGGUGGGGACUCAGUGGAGACCGCCGGGGUCAACUCGGAGGAAGGUGGGGAUGACGUCAAGUCAUCAUGCCCCUUAUGUCCAGGGCUUCACGCAUGCUACAAUGGCUGGUACAGAGAGUGGCGAGCCUGUGAGGGUGAGCGAAUCUCGGAAAGCCGGUCUCAGUUCGGAUUGGGGUCUGCAACUCGACCUCAUGAAGUCGGAGUCGCUAGUAAUCGCAAAUCAGCAACGCUGCGGUGAAUACGUUCCCGGGGCU